rnacentral:rRNA from 1 species
CCUACGGGUGGCAGCAGUGGGGAAUAUUGGACAAUGGGGGGAACCCUGAUCCAGCCAUGCCGCGUGUGUGAAGAAGGCCCUCGGGUUGUAAAGCACUUUCAGUGAGGAAGAACGCCUGGUGGUUAAUACCCAUCAGGAAAGACAUCACUCACAGAAGAAGCACCGGCUAACUCCGCGCCAGCAGCCGCGGUAAUACGGAGGGUGCGAGCGUUAAUCGGAAUUACUGGGCGUAAAGCGCGCGUAGGUGGCUUGAUAAGCCGGUUGUGAAAGCCCCGGGCUCAACCUGGGAACGGCAUCCGGAACUGUCAAGCUAGAGUGCAGGAGAGGAAGGUAGAAUUCCCGGUGUAGCGGUGAAAUGCGUAGAGAUCGGGAGGAAUACCAGUGGCGAAGGCGGCCUUCUGGACUGACACUGACACUGAGGUGCGAAAGCGUGGGUAGCAAACAGGAUUAGAUACCCGUGUAGUC